rnacentral:rRNA from 1 species
AACCAAAAGGCGCAACGAGAGUGAAGGCACGGUCGCCGUGCCGAGGUGAGAGCCGUCCGCGAGGCGGCGCAUCAUCGACCGAUCCCGACCGAGCCGCCCGUGCGGUGCGGUGGGACUCGAGUGAGAGCGUACCUGUUGCGACCCGAAAGAUGGUGAACUAUGCCUGAAUAGGGUGAAGCCAGAGGAAACUCUGGUGGAGGCCCGCAGCGAUUCUGACGUGCAAAUCGAUCGUCAAAUUUGGGUAUAGGGGCGAAAGACUAAUCGAACCAUCUAGUAGCUGGUUCCCUCCGAAGUUUCCCUCAGGAUAGCUGUAGCCCGAAGCAGUUUUAUCAGGUAAAGCGAAUGAUUAGAGGUAUCGGGGAAGAAACUUCCUCGACCUAUUCUCAAACUUUAAAUUGGUAAGAAGUCCGACUUGCUCGAGUGAAGCCGGACAAUGAAUGCUGGGUUACUAGUGGGCCAUUUUUGGUAAGCAGAACUGGCGAUGCGGGAUGAACCGAACGCCGGGUUAAGGUGCCAAAGUCGACGCUCAUCAGAUCCCACAAA